CUGGCGGCGUGCUUAACACAUGCAAGUCGAGCGAUGAAGUCCUUCGGGGACGGAUUAGCGGCGGACGGGUGAGUAACACGUGGGUAACCUGCCUCAUAGAGGGGAAUAGCCUUUCGAAAGGAAGAUUAAUACCGCAUAAGAUUGUAGUUUCGCAUGAAACAGCAAUUAAAGGAGUAAUCCGCUAUGAGAUGGACCCGCGUCGCAUUAGCUAGUUGGUGAGGUAACGGCUCACCAAGGCGACGAUGCGUAGCCGACCUGAGAGGGUGAUCGGCCACAUUGGGACUGAGACACGGCCCAGACUCCUACGGGAGGCAGCAGUGGGGAAUAUUGCACAAUGGGGGAAACCCUGAUGCAGCCAACGCCGCGUGAGUGAUGACGGUCUUCGGAUUGUAAAGCUCUGUCUUCAGGGACGAUAAUGACGGUACCUGAGGAAGAAGCCACGGCUAACUACGUGCCAGCCGCCGC
rnacentral:rRNA from 1 species